rnacentral:rRNA from 1 species
UACGGAGGGUGCGAGCGUUGUCCGGAAUCACUGGGCGUAAAGGGCGCGUAGGCGGCAGGCCAAGCGUGCGGUGAAAGUCCGGGGCUCAACCCCGGAUCUGCCGUGCGGACUGGUUUGCUAGAGCACUGUAGAGGCGAGUGGAAUUCCGGGUGUAGCGGUGGAAUGCGUAGAGAUCCGGAAGAACACCAGUGGCGAAGGCGGCUAUCUGGACGGUUACUGACGCUAAGACGCGAAAGCGUGGGGAGCAAACAGG